UACGUAGGGGGCAAGCGUUGUCCGGAUUUAUUGGGCGUAAAGCGCUCGCAGGUGGUUCAUUGCGUCGUGCGUGAAAGACCCCGGCUCAACUGGGGAGGGUCGUGCGAAACGGGUGAACUAGAGGCCAGUAGGGGGAUGCGGAAUUCCGGGUGUAGUGGUGGAAUGCGUAGAGAUCCGGAGGAACCCCAGCGGCGAAGGCGGCAUCCUGGACUGGUCCUGACACUCAGGAGCGAAAGCGUGGGGAGCGAUCCGG
rnacentral:rRNA from 1 species